rnacentral:rRNA from 1 species
CGGCGGCCGUAACUAUAACGGUCCUAAGGUAGCGAAAUUCCUUGUCGGGUAAGUUCCGACCUGCACGAAUGGCAUAAUGAUGGCCAGGCUGUCUCCACCCGAGACUCAGUGAAAUUGAAAUCGCCGUGAAGAUGCGGUGUACCCGCGGCUAGACGGAAAGACCCCGUGAACCUUUACUAUAGCUUGACACUGAACAUUGAAUUUUGAUGUGUAGGAUAGGUGGGAGACUAUGAAGAUGAUACGCCAGUAUUGUUGGAGUCGACCUUGAAAUACCACCCUUUAACGUUUGAUGUUCUAACGAAGAUUGCGAAACGCGGUCUCGGACAGUGUCUGGUGGGUAGUUUGACUGGGGCGGUCUCCUCCCAAAGAGUAACGGAGGAGCACGAAGGUUUGCUAAUGACGGUCGGACAUCGUCAGGUUAGUGCAAUGGUAUAAGCAAGCUUAACUGCGAGACAGACAAGUCGAGCAGGUACGAAAGUAGGUCAUAGUGAUCCGGUGGUUCUGAAUGGAAGGGCCAUCGCUCAACGGAUAAAAGGUACUCCGGGGAUAACAGGCUGAUACCGCCCAAGAGUUCAUAUCGACGGCGGUGUUUGGCACCUCGAUGUCGGCUCAUCACAUCCUGGGGCUGAAGUAGGUCCCAAGGGUAUGGCUGUUCGCCAUUUAAAGUGGUACGCGAGCUGGGUUUAGAACGUCGUGAGACAGUUCGGUCCCUAUCUGCCGUGGGCGUUGGAGAAUUGAUUGGGGCUGCUCCUAGUACGAGAGGACCGGAGUGGACGCACCACUGGUGUUCCGGUUGUGUCGCCAGACGCAUUGCCGGGUAGCUAAGUGCGGAAGAGAUAAGUGCUGAAAGCAUCUAAGCACGAAACUUGCCAAGAGAUGAGUUCUCCCAGAUUACAAAUCUGUAAGGGUUGUUUAAGACUAAGACGUAGAUAGGCAGGGUGUAUAAGCGGUGUGAGCCGUUGAGCUAACCUGUACUAAUUGCCCAAGAGGCUUAACUAUACAACGCUCAAGGGUUUUGGGUGUUGGGUAAACAAAACAAACUCAGAGAAGAAGAAAGUUUUAAAGUUGAAUCAGCUUGUUUGGUUGUGAGCGCUAGAGAUAGCGGAGCAGAGAGAAAUAGAAAAGUUAUUAAAGGAAUAAUCCUGGCGG